UUCGCAGGCGGUUUUUUAAGUCAGAUGUGAAAGGCUACGGCUCAACCGUGGUAAGCAUUUGAAACUGAAAGACUUGAGUUAAGGAGAGGAAAGUGGAAUUCCUAGUGUAGCGGUGAAAUGCGUAGAUAUUAGGAGGAAUACCAGUGGCGAAGGCGACUUUCUGGACUUAUACUGACGCUGAGGAACGAAAGCGUGGGGAGCAAACAGGAUUAGAUACCCUGGUAGUCCACGCCGUAAACGAUGAGUGCUAGGUGUUGGGGGUCAAACCUCGGUGCCGCAGCUAACGCAUUAAGCACUCCGCCUGGGGAGUACGUACGCAAGUAUGAA
rnacentral:rRNA from 1 species